GGUCUUGCCGAAGCAACCCCAACUCCAGUUUAGACUUCUUUUGCAGGUCCCGAUGGCGACCGCGACUCCCUCGACUCUAGCUUCUCCAAUGCAGGUGAAUUUUUGCACCAACAGGAUUGGCGCUAGAGGAAGGGGUCUGUGUCUUCGCAGUACCCUUGUUCUUAAAGGAGCGCUCAACGGGACCGCCUCCGACCAUCUUUUCCGACGUCCUCUCCUCCUUUCCCCGC
rnacentral:lncRNA from 1 species